CUUCAGCGUGCCCUUCUCGGGAGCACAUUCUCUCUCACCGGUGGAGCGAAAUCUCCCUUUACCUGGAAUCAGGUUUUGUUGCUUUGUUUUUCCCUUUAGGAGCAAACUGUUCACUUAAGGGCAGUCAUAGACUAUUCCCGAAAAAAGGAAUCCGUGAGAAGCACGGUAACCCUGCCACCAAAAAACUUUCAGAGGAAAUGGAAGGACUGGCAGAGGAAGGGGAUUGUCCCCAGAGUCGUAACUAAUCUCGCCUACAACUCGGGUCGAGGCAUCGAUGAGUCUUCACCCUCUGGCUCCUGGGCUCCCUGGCUAGCCGCUUCCCAGGCAGCCCUGAGGCAUCCAGCUUGGGCCCACGCCGCUGUUCACACCUUCAAUGGCAUCCAGGGGGGACGGUCCCUUCUGGGAGCCUCAGAAAUAAAGAAGAAUGAGCC